GAUUUGAUUAAAACAACAAAUCAAAUAUCACGGAUGCUGAUGACGAUGAACUGGACUUUUUAUGUUCAUGAACAAUGUAUGGUAGAGGGAGUAGGACCAGAAAAAAAUUGAUACUGUCGUCUGUGUGUCAGAGAGAGAUCCGGACCUUUGCCAGACUGUAAACAUCAUCACAUGGCAUCAAGGAGAAGAAGUAACCUUCAGGCUGACGCCUCCCUCUCCUGAAUACACGCAGCGCUGGACCGAAGCCAUCUGGCAGCACAUCUACAACCUGAGCCAAUGGAAACAGUGUUGUCAUCACCUCAUGAAGAUUGAAACGCAGGGCUCAAAGAAAGCCAUUCCAGCGAGGCAGGGAUCACUAUACCAUGAAAUAGUGACGCCCUUGGCUCCUGGAGAGGGUCAUGUGAUCCCGGAUUUAUCUGUUGAGAUCCGCGCUUUGCUCUCUUCCUACUACAAGGAGAGGUAGGCCUUUAUGGCACAGACACUCAUUCUCCCUUUAAGCCUGGGACAAAUGUGCCAAUAUGAUUUACUUUCUCCUCUAUUCAAACCCCGCUAAUGAUCACAAUGACUCGCUAGAUCACUUGUUUGUUUUGAUAGUCCAACAUUGCUUCCAUCGUAAGGCGGAGCCACACGAUAUGCUACUGACGUCUAAGGAAUGAAAACAAUCUCUGCCGUGACAACAGACGAUGGAAUUUGUGCUUUAACCAUGUUCAUCUUUCAAUGCGUAUGUUUCCGUGGCUGAGAUAUCAGCUUAUCAAUAUCAUCAAUGAUGAUAGAUAAAUGAGAGACAUGUUGUUAGUAAUACUUGACAGUUCCUUUAGAUCAGGGGUGUCCAAACUACGGCCCGAGGGCCAAAUGCGGCCCGCGGACCAUUUUGAAUUGAAUA